rnacentral:lncRNA from 1 species
CCCUUACAUUCGUCAUUGCACGCACGUGGUCUUGUGAAUUUAUCACGAUAGAGCAGCGCCAAGCCGGACUGCAGUAUCAGGCCGGACCAGUCGCAUGCACGGUCUACCCUAAACCACUCUCAGAUUACCUGUUUCUCUUUCGCGCGAUCCUUUUCGCUCGCUCGUUCCGCACCCCGUUUGUGACAUGUGACAUUUUUUUUACUAGAUUUUACAUUAAACGUUUUUUACUCCCAUUGAUAUUGACAACUAACCCGGUAUACGGUUGUGCCGUUUUUAAGCUCUCGAUCUUUUUUAUCAAGUUUUUAAUAUUUUUUGCCCCUUUUCAAAAUGUGUCGGUCGGAAAGUUUAAGUUCGCAAAGUGCGUCCACUGACAGUAGUGAUCGUGUUUUUGUCAUUGAGACAAGUACAUCCUCGGAUUCUUCUAGCAGUUCUUUAUUAUCCUCGAUCUGUGAACGAUGUUCCAGUAGUUUUAGCAGAAAAAGUUAUUCGUGGAGUAGAGCUAUUAGAAAAUUCAAUCGGUUCGUGGCGCUAGGAGUGUUCUUGCUGAGUCUAGUAAGGAUUCCUUCUUGUACGAGCUCACCGAUCAUCCGACGAAACACGAACACGAUGGAGAAGCAGAACAACGCGCUGGCGCAAAGGCCCCUCUGGGUUAACCCUUGCGGCUACGGCACUGACGAGACGGACACAGAGCCGGAGCCCUACGCCCAGACCCAGGAGACUCGCAUGCUCCAGAGCAUCAUCCUCACCUCCAAAAACGCCCUCAGUCACGCCAAGCAGUUCAGAGACAAUUACGUAAGUUCAUUCCUUCUUCUUCAGUCUCCGCCACCCAGAGACAAUCAGAGACAAGAGACCCUCCACUGGCCUCCUAGCGACAGGUGGAAGCUUUUACUUUCGGGGUUUCAACAAUUCCUUAUGGACAAUUAUUAGGGAGCAACAGUCAUCACCCUCAUUUCGGCUGUUGACCUAACUACAUGGUCGAUGAUGAGCUUCGGGUGACGUCAUGAGCCAAACAAGUUUCCCAAACGUCGGCCAUUUUCGGCUUGUUUGCUAAACGAAACUGCCAACAAGUUGUUCAACAUCAACCAUGUAGGUAAGUCAACAGUGGAAUGCUGAAGUCCCGAAAGUAAAAGCUUCCACAAUGGCCAAGAUACUAGUGGAGGGUCUCUUGUCUCUGGAGACAAUAUUCCAGGGGCCUCGAGGACAA